rnacentral:rRNA from 1 species
UACGUAGGGUGCAAGCGUUUGUCCGGAAUUAUUGGGCGUAAAGAGCUCGUAGGCGGUCUGUCGCGUCGGAUGUGAAAAUCCAGGGCUUAACCCUGGGCCUGCAUUCGAUACGGGCAGACUAGAGGUAUGCAGGGGAGAACGGAAUUCCUGGUGUAGCGGUGAAAUGCGCAGAUAUCAGGAGGAACACCAAUUGCGAAGGCAGCUCGCUGGGACGUGACUGACGCUGAGACGCGAAAGCGUGGGGAGCAAACAGG